rnacentral:misc_RNA from 1 species
GAUGAAGACGUAGCGAAAUGCGAUAAGUAGUGUGAAUUGCAGAAUUCAGUGAAUCAUCGAAUCUUUGAACGCACAUUGCGCCCUUUGGUAUUCCUUAGGGCAUGCCUGUUCGAGCGUCAUUUAAACCUUCAAGCUCAGCUUGGUGUUGGGUGACUGUCCGCUUCACCGCGGACUCGCCUCAAAAUUAUUGGCGGCCGGUACAUUGGCUUCGAGCGCAGCAGAAACGCGAACUCGGGCCCGUCGUAUUGGCUCCCAGAAGCUAUCUUCACAAUUUUGACCUCGGAUCAGGUAGGGAUACCCGCUGAACUUAAGCAUAUCAAUAAGCGGAGGA